CUUCACCGAUCCCAACCACAGCGGGUCCGCGCGAUCCUGACCGUAAGUGGCCAGCAACGCCUGCGCCUC
rnacentral:antisense_RNA from 1 species